GACAGAGGGUGCAAGCGUUGUUCGGAAUUACUGGGCGUAAAGCGCGUGUAGGCGGUCUGAUAAGUCGGGUGUGAAAGCCCUGGGCUCAACCCAGGAAGUGCACUCGAAACUGCCAGGCUAGAGUGUCGGAGAGGUUGGUGGAAUUCUCGGUGUAGAGGUGAAAUUCGUAGAUAUCGAGAGGAACACCGGUGGCGAAGGCGGCCAACUGGACGAACACUGACGCUGAGACUCGAAAGCGUGGGGAGCAAACAGG
rnacentral:rRNA from 1 species